GACAGAGGUGGCAAGCGUUGUUCGGAUUUAUUGGGUGUAAAGGGCAGGUAGGCGGUCGGGCAAGUCUGAUGUGAAAUCCCAUGGCUCAACCGUGGAACUGCAUUGGAAACUGCCUGACUUGAGUACCGGAGAGGUGAAGGGAAUUCUCGGUGUAAGGGUGAAAUCUGUAGAUAUCGAGAGGAACACCAGUGGCGAAGGCGCUUCACUGGCCGGUUACUGACGCUGAGCUGCGAAAGCAAGGGGAGCAAACAGG
rnacentral:rRNA from 1 species